UAGUGCUUGAUAGUGGUCUAUUUUUUUGUAAAAACUUUGGAGAGUCCCACUAUCAACUAAAUUUUCAAUCUCUGUCACUAAUGUACCCGGAAGAUAUAUAGAUUCUUUAAAACAUCGUCUAUGUAAAGAUGCCAGGGGUAAAGUUGAAAUGGCAAAUUGUCUUUUCAUGGUUUGUAUAUGCAGUAGCUUGAAAAUGGGCAUUAUAGGACAUACUACCCCGUUUUGAGCCUUAUAAAAGCAGAGAACUGCAUCAGAUUGGCCUCGGCUUUACAUCGCCUAGGUUUAGGUCGGAUCGUGGCUCUGACAUUGUCACGAACGUGCGAGAGGUCUCGAGAAAUUCUGGCUUCAGAAGGUGAGUGUUAAGCAAGAUGGAGAAGCAGGGUACGUGGAUUACUAACUCAUGUACUGCUUGUCUAUGAAGCUCGCUAAAGGAGUUAGUCUUUCACGUGCCUGUCUUCCCCAUCUUGAACACUCGACCUUAGCAUCCCUAGUUCCUUACUGCGCUUGCUGGUGACUUCGUUUCCCAAAGCUAGCUUUAUUUGCUGCAGGUAAAUUUUUUAACAAUGGCUAUAGUUCAUUGUGUCUAAAUCAAAUUUAUGAAUCAUUUUUCCCUACUCCUUUCGCUUCAUUGAGAACCUAUAGCUCGGAAAACUCCUCCCGGGGGGAGGGAGUCCAUCCCUUGUCAAAGAUGUGAUUGGAUGCUAGAUCUACUUCACUGAUGGAUCAACAUGGAUAGAAGAUAAACAUGGAUCGAGUGGGCUAAAUCCUGAUCAGAUAUUUCGACAAAGCUUUGGUGAAAUUAACACGUGAAUAUAGUAUAAAGUAAGGUGCAGCAGUCACAAUCCAGUUGGUAAGGUCUUCAUUGAAACUUGACAAUUUCUUUUACCUUAAUCUUCUAAUUAUUUGAAUGGAAUGGCUCUUGAUGCAGUAACAUUAAGUAGUAAACAUUUGUAUUAUUAAUCCAUAUCUCUAUAUCAAUUGAGAUGUAUGGCUGAGGGAUCUCCAUUUCCAUUGAUCACUAAACCGUGUUUCCUUCGUCAAAAGGCUUAGGCGGUUAGUAUAAUCAUAUAGUUCUUCACUGACAGUCAUUAUCCCAUGAUACAUACUGGAAUCAAAAUAAACCACAAUGCAAUAUAGAGGCAUCGGCGAAUUGGGACAUGAUGAAGAAGAAAAAAGUGUCCAAAAAUAAGUAGAGGCGCAUUCGCUCUGACACUUAUGAUUGAUAUGGAUGGGCCAGGAACCAACAGCAAACAUUUCUGCAGCUGCUGGAGGUACUAAGGCCUAUUUGGAGAUACUUGUAAAUGAAAUAAUAUUUUUGUCCAAUUUGAUUAGCAGGUCAUGUUCUUGUCCCCCGUUCCCCAUCUUUCUUCUGUUUUAUCAUGAAACUACGGUGUCCGUGAUGCGUAGUCAUCUAGUAUUGUAAUAAAUCAAUAGAAACUAGAUCGAUAUUCGUUUGGAAUCAAUGAGGUUUUGGCAACAUGUCCGUUCAUCA